GUGCGUGUAGCUCAGCUGGAUAGAGUACUUGACUACGAAUCAAGUGGUCGGAAGUUCGAAUCUUCUCAUGCACA
rnacentral:tRNA from 2 species